rnacentral:rRNA from 1 species
GCAUAUCAAUAAGCGGAGGAAAAGAAACCAACAGGGAUUGCCCUAGUAACGGCGAGUGAAGCGGCAACAGCUCAAAUUUGAAAUCUGGCUCCCCUUGGGGGUCCGAGUUGUAAUUUGCAGAGGAUGCUUUGGCAUUGACGGCGGUCUAAGUUCCUUGGAACAGGACAUCACAGAGGGUGAGAAUCCCGUACGUGGUCGCCUGUCCUUGCCAUGUAAAGCUCCUUCGACGAGUCGAGUUGUUUGGGAAUGCAGCUCUAAAUGGGAGGUAAAUUUCUUCUAAAGCUAAAUACCGGCCAGAGACCGAUAGCGCACAAGUAGAGUGAUCGAAAGAUGAAAAGUACUUUGGAAAGAGAGUCAAAAAGCACGUGAAAUUGUUGAAAGGGAAGCGCUUGCAGCCAGACUUGCCCGCAGUUGCUCACCUAGGCUUUCGCCUGGGGCACUCUUCUGCGGGCAGGCCAGCAUCAGUUUGGGCGGUUGGAUAAAGGCCUCUGUCACGUAUCUCCCUUCGGGGUGACCUUAUAGGGGAGGCGCAAUGCAACCAGCCCGGACUGAGGUCCGCGCAUCUGCUAGGAUGCUGGCGUAAUGGCUGUAAGCGGCCCGUCUUGAAACACGGACCAAGGAGUCUAACAUCUAUGCGAGUGUUUGGGUGUCAAGCCCGAGCGCGCAAUGAAAGUGAACGGAGGUGGGAACCCUUUGGGUGCACCAUCGACCGAUCCUGAUGUCUUCGGAUGGAUUUGAGUAAGAGCAUAGCUGUUKGGACCCGAAAGAUGGUGAACUAUGCUUGAAUAGGGUGAAGCCAGAGGAAACUCUGGUGGAGGCUCGCAGCGGUUCUGACGUGCAAAUCGAUCGUCAAAUUUGGGCAUAGGGGCGAAAGACUAAUCGAACCAUCUAGUAGCUGGUUCCUGCCGA